UGAAGCGGGUGCAUGAUCGCUCCGGCCUUGUGCCGGGGAGGAAAGUCCGAACUCCGCAGGGCAGAAUGGUUCGUAACGCGAACGCCGGGUGACCGGGGGAAAGUGCCACAGAAAAUAAACCGCCCAGGAAGGUCUGGGUAAGGGUGAAACGGCGAGGUAAGAGCUCACCGCCUGAAUGGUGACAUUCAGGGCACGGCAAACCCCAUUCGGAGCAAGACCAAAUAGGGAGACGUUUAAGGGCUGCCCGCUCAUUGUCUCCGGGUAGGUUGCAAGAGGUGCCGGGCAACCGGCAUCCAUAGUGAAAUGAUCAUGGCCCCGCAUGCGGGGAACAGAAUUCGGCUUAUAACCCGCUUCGUUUU
rnacentral:RNase_P_RNA from 1 species